rnacentral:rRNA from 1 species
UACGUAGGGGGCAAGCGUUGUCCGGAAUCAUUGGGCGUAAAGAGCGUGUAGGCGGCCCGAUAAGUCCGCUGUGAAAGUCCAGGGCUCAACCCUGGAAUGCCAGUGGAAACUGUCGGGCUGGAGUCCGGAAGAGGCGAGUGGAAUUCCCGGUGUAGCGGUGAAAUGCGUAGAUAUCUGGAGGAACACCGGUGGCGAAGGCGGCAUCCUGGACCGGUAUUGACACUGAGGCGCGAAAGCCAGGGGAGCAAACGGG